rnacentral:rRNA from 1 species
CCUACGGGAGGCAGCAGUGGGGAAUAUUUCACAAUGGGGGGAACCCUGAUGCAGCGACGCCGCGUGAGUGAAGAAGUAUUUCGGUAUGUAAAGCUCUGUCAGCAGGGAAGAAGAAAGACGGUACCUGACCAAGAAGCCCCGGCUAACUACGUGCCAGAAGCCGAGGUAAUACGUGGGGAGCACGCGUUAUCCGGAUUUACUGGGGGUAAAGGGAGCGUAGACGGCAGGGCAAGUCUGGCGUGAAAGGAAGGGGCACAACCCCUGGACUGCUCUGGAAACUGUCCGGAAGGAGUGCAGGGGAGGUAAGUGGAAUUCCUAGUGUAGCGGUGAAAUGCGUAGAUAUUAGGAGGAACACCAGUGGCGAAGGCGGCUUACUGGACUGUAACUGACGUUGAGGCUCGAAAGCGUGGGGAGCAAACAGGAUUAGAUACCCCGGUAGUC